rnacentral:lncRNA from 1 species
CUUUUUUUUUUUUUUUUUUUUUUUGGUCUUUUUGCCAUUUCUUGGGCCACUCCUGCGGCAUAUGGAGGUUCCCAGGCUAGGGGUCCAAUCGGAGCUGUAGCCACCAGCCUACACAGAGCCACAGCAACGUGGGAUCCGAGCUGCGUCUGCAACCUACAUCACAGCUCACGGCAACGCCAGAUUCUUUAACCCACUGAGCAAGGCCAGGGACCGAUCCCGCAACCUCAUGGUUCUUAGUCGGAUUCGUUAACCACUGCGCCACGACAGGAACUCCUUCCUUGCAAUUCUUAAAAUCCCAGUUGCUCCAAGGAGACCCUGCUGGCCAAGGAGAAGUGAGGUGGCCAAGAACCCCACCCCCACCCCAUCUCUCUAGUCUGAUGUCUGGAACUUUCCUCUCCUACAUCAUACAAAUUCCUCAUGUGGUUAUAAAUACGAGCCACACUUCCACCCAAUGUGUUAAUGCUUUAAGCAGAUUGGUUUUCUUUGCAAGAGAAUCCACUGAUGUUCAUUUUUAUUGGGGUUUCUUUUAUCUCUUUUAAGUUGGUAGGUACGGGAGAGAAAGGACGUUGUCUGCAAAUCACUGUAGCUAAGCUGCCAUGUGUGCGUUGGGGGCGGGGGAACCAGAGCCCCGGCACCGCAGACUAAGUCUGGAUCCCAGGUGGCAACUUUGAAGUGAAAAUUGCAACUUGUAUAUGCUCAGCCUUUUCUCCCGGAGUGAACUAAACUCUGACAUACUCCACAGAGGUCCUACAGCCCAGGGUGGACUCCAGGGGGACGAGAGGACUUGUACAGGUUAAGCGCCCUGCUCACUCCCUCGCUUUACCCAGGGGUGCCAUUAUGAACCCUUUCAACAUGCAGUAUUUGGUGAGGCCUCCCUGGAAAGGGACUUUCUAGCCUAUUUCUGAGCUGUCUGGGGUGGGAGGGGGCGGAGGAAUAGGAACUAGGGGGAUCCUGCGGUUCACUUCUCCCCACUGGUCUCCCCCGUUCAGCAGAUGCGCACGCGGGGGUCUGGAGCCUUAGUGCCAGGCUCGCCUCUCCCGCAUCCGGGGUCAGCCUCACUCUUUUACACUUGCUGAAUACUUACGAUCUUUUAUCCUCUUUUCUCACAGCUGACCUAGGGGACCCCUCAGUUAUUUUAAUUCCUUUUGCUGUACUAAAAUCAAGAAUUGAGUCAGGGUUGGAAAACGGGGGAGAGGUAUACCUCUUUUCUAAAAUCACUCCCCCCUCAACCACAGAAUUGGGUCUGGGAUUAUUCAGAGGCACUGCUAUACAGCCCAUGUGGCAUCAGGCAUGACGUGUCCUCUGUGCUCCCUGAGACCCGGUGUGUGCUGUGUGCCAGCCCCUGUGCCGCGUCUGUGCCGCCGUGGAAUCCCCGUUGGGCAGGGCUUCCCUGAGGAGGUGAGGCUGGGACCAGCCAUCUGAGAUCCUGGAGAGGAGCCUGGACCUAGUCGGGUCAGCAGCAGAAAGAGGCUGUGAGGUGAGCUGGGGGGAGGCGUGGCCAGGAAGGCAGACCUGUGCAGUCCAGGGAUGGGGCCUGGGGACUCUGAGAGCCUGGCCCUAGAGGUGGUCUUGUUACAGAGAAAGCCAGGUCUAGAGCAUGCCUCUUGGGGGUCCUACGCAGGUCUUUACUGCUCUGUCCCGUGAGCCUCUGUUUUCCUCUACCUGCACCUGGAAUGGAGCUCCUCACCUUCCCUACCAGGGCGGGGCAACUGAUUUGAAACGAAAUUGAUGUCCCUCUAUGCUUCAAAGCUAAGUAAACACUGAACUGGACACUGUUCCAAUAAUGCAUCUGGAUUUGUUUUUUCACUUUUUUCAUCAGUUCUUAGCUUAGGUUGAGUAACAGCCACAAAAUUUAUUUGUAAGAGAGCCAGGCUCUUACUCAUCCCAGAGCUUCAUCCAUGCUGUGCCCCCUCCUUCUCUCCUGCUUCCUUUCCCUCUCCUUCUAGCCAGGUCCUACUCCGCCUUCAGAUCUCGACUCCACAUCCUCAGGUAAGCAGUCCCGGACACCUGCCCCCCUGGAUUAGGUCCCCUCCUAGAUAUUCCCACAGCUCUUUAUAUCUCUCCUUUGUAACCCACAAUGUACUGUUAAGUCCUUGUUCACUGUCUAUUUAGAAGUUAGAAAUUACAAGAUAACAGGGACUGUCUCUUCUUCAAUCGCUGCUGCAUCCCAGGUUCUCGGCAUCUAAUUUAUGCUCAAAUAGUUGCCGAAUCAAUAAAUGAAUGAAUGAUGUGCUGUCUAAAUCAGUGACUCAUAAACUUUGCGCUGCAGAAGAAUCAACUGAGAAGCCAACAGGCCGAUCUGUGAUCAGUCCCAGAAUCUACCUUUUCAACAAGAAUCCAGGGGAUUUGGAUGCAGAUCUUCCUAACUUUAGGAAGCAUUCCUCCAGGAUACAGAGAGCGAGGGCAGAGGAUUGAGGUUAAAGAGACAAAAGGGAGCAAAAUGGGAGAACUUAAAUAACAAGUGACGAUUUAUGUAACUGUUCAAACAACCGCUGAACAUCUGAAGGGCUAAAUGACAGACUGUCAGAUUCAUUCCUCAGACAACAAAGAGCCCAGAAUGGUUAGAAGCAGCAGCUACCUG